rnacentral:rRNA from 1 species
CGAUUCCGGAGAGGGAGCCUGAGAAAUAGCUACCACAUCCAAGGAAGGCAGCAGGCGCGCAAAUUACCCACUCCCGAAACGGGGAGGUAGUGACGAUAAAUAACGAUGCGGGACUCAAUCGAGGCCCCGUAAUUGGAAUGAGUACACUUUAAAUCCUUUAACGAGGAUCAAUUGGAGGGCAAGUCUGGUGCCAGCAGCCGCGGUAAUUCCAGCUCCAAUAGCGUAUAUUAAAGUUGUUGCAGUUAAAAAGCUCGUAGUUGGAUCUCAGGAUUUGGAUGGAUGGUUCGCUUUCGGGCGCUACUAUCUGUCUGACCUACUCUAGUCGUGGAUGCCUUGGGUGCUCUUAAUUGAGUGCUUUUGGUGCCCGACGCAAUUACUUUGAAAAAAAUUAGAGUGCUCAAAGCAGGCGUAUUGCCUGAAUAGUGUUGCAUGGAAUAAUGAAAUAGGAGUUUACUUCUAUUUUGUUGGUUUUCGGAGGUGAACUAAUGAUUAACAGGGACAGACGGGGGCAUUUGUAUGGAGGGGUUAGAGGUGAAAUUCUUGGAUCCUCUCCAGACAAACUACUGCGAAAGCAUUUGCCAGGAAUGUUUUCACUAAUCAAGAACGAAAGUCAGAGGUUCGAAGACGAUCAGAUACCGUCCUAGUUCUGACCAUAAAUGAUGCCAUCUAACAAUCCACGAAGUUUGCUUGUACGAACUCGUGGGCGGUCCCCGGGAAACCAAAGAUUUUGGGUUCCGGGGGAAGUAUGGUUGCAAAGCUGAAACUUAAAGGAAUUGACGGAAGGGCACCACCAGGAGUGGAGCCUGCGGCUUAAUUUGACCCAACACGGGAAACCUCACCCGGCCCGGACACUUUUAGGAUUGACAGAUUGAAGGCUCUUUCUUGAUCAAGUGGUUGGUGGUGCAUGGCCGUUCUUAGUUGGUGGAGCGAUUUGUCUGGUUAAUUCCGAUAACGAACGAGACUCUACUCUGCUAAAUAGAACGUUGAUAUAUAAAAGUCAGUGCUGACUUCUUAGAGAGACUAACGGCGUUUAGCCGUGUGAGAAAGAGCAAUAACAGGUCUGUGAUGCCCUUAGAUGUCCGGGGCCGCACGCGCGCUACACUGACUGCAGCAACUAGUAUGCUCCUGGUUUGAAAAAACUGGGUAACCUGGUUGAAUUGCAGGCGUGACAGGGAUCAGAGUUUGCAAUUAUCCUCUGUGAACGAGGAAUUCCCAGUAAGCGCAAGUCAUUAGCUUGUGCUGAUUACGUCCCUGCCCUUUGUACACACCGCCCGUCGCUACUACCGAUUGAAUGGUUUAGUGAGGUCUUCGGAUUGGUGCUGAUGGAGUGGUUCUCUGCUCUGUUAGUGCCGAGAAGAUGAUCAAACUUGAUCAUUUAGAGGAAGUAAAAGUCGUAACAAGGUU